rnacentral:rRNA from 1 species
AGGGCACAGGGCGGAUGCCUUGGCACUAAGAGCCGAUGAAAGACGUGAUAAGCUGCGAAAAGCUUCGGGGAGGAGCAAAUAUCCCGUGAUCCGGAGAUGUCUGAAUGGGGAAACCCACAUGAGCAAACCUCAUGUAUCCAUACGCCAAUCCAUAACGUAUGGAAGGGAACCCGGGGAACUGAAACAUCUAAGUACCCGGAGGAAAAGAAAGAAAACUCGAUUCCGUAAGUAGCGGCGAGCGAACGCGGAGGAGCCUAAACCGGAAUGCGUGCAUUCCGGGGUUACGGACUGCAUUUAAGAUUCUCUGAAGCUAACAGAACGGUUUUGGGAAAGCCGGCCGGAGAGGGUGAAAGCCCCGUACGUGAAAGCUGAUGAGACUGAGCAGGAUCCAGAGUACCACGAGACACGAGAAACCUUGUGGGAAGUCGGAGGGACCACCCUCCAAGGCUAAAUACUCCUUAGUGACCGAUAGCGCAUAGUACUGUGAAGGAAAGGUGAAAAGGACCCCGGGAGGGGAGUGAAAGAGAACCUGAAACCCUGUGUCUACAAGCUGUGGAAGUGCUUUAUAUGCACGACCGCGUACUUUUUGUAGAACGGUCCGGCGAGUUACGCUUACUGGCAAGGUUAAGCACUUCAGGUGUGGAGCCGUAGGGAAACCAAGUCUUAAGAGGGCCAGAGUCAGUAGGAGUAGACCCGAAACCGGGUGAUCUAUCCAUGUCCAGGUUGAAGCUGCCGUAAGAGGUAGUGGAGGACCGAACCCACAUCCGUUGAAAAGGGUGGGGAUGAGGUGUGGAUAGGGGAGAAAUUCCAAUCGAACCCGGAGAUAGCUGGUUCUCCUCGAAAUAGCUUUAGGGCUAGCCUCGAUACAGAUUUGCGGAGGUAGAGCACUGAAUUUCCUAGGGGGCGUCAAAGCCUACCGAAGAAUAUCAAACUCCGAAUGCCGCGUAAUCGAUUAUCGGGAGUCAGACUGCACGAGAUAAGUUGGGCGGUCAAAAGGGAAAGAGCCCAGACCUUCAGUUAAGGUCCCCAAGUGCGCGUUAAGUGGAAAAGGAUGUGGGAUUUCGAAGACAACCAGGAUGUUGGCUCAGAAGCAGCCAUCCAUUCAAAGAGUGCGUAAUAGCUCACUGGUCGAGAGGUCCUGCGCCGAAAAUGUCCGGGGCUGAAACGCGCCACCGAAACUAAGGAACCGAAAGGUUGGUAGAGGAGCAUUGCAUGCGGGAAGAAGCAGUACCGAAAGGAGCUGUGGACUGCAUGGAAGAGAGAAUGCCGGAAUGAGUAGCGAGAAUAAGGUGAGAAUCCUUAUGGCCGAAUAUCCAAGGUUUCCAGAGUAAAGCUGAUCUGCUCUGGGUAAGUCGGGGCCUAAGGCGAGGACGAGAGUCGUAGCCGAUGGACAACAGGUGGAGAUUCCUGUACUGCGGUAUGACAGAACUGUGGGGACACGUAAGGAAAGCGGAAGCCGGGAAUGGAAAGCCCGGUGCAAGCGGGGUACCAGUCACUUUGGCAAAUCCGGGUGGCAAUGGGAAGCCGUGAUGCGGAGCGAAAUAAAGUAGCGAAGUCCGUGAGCCAUGCGUCAAGAAAAGCCGCUAUCGUUUAUACCGUACCCGUACCGUAAACCGACACAGGUGGAUGAGGAGAGAAUCCUAAGGCCGGCGGAAGAAGCAUUGUUAAGGAAUUCGGCAAAAUGACCCCGUAACUUCGGGAGAAGGGGUGCCUGCGAGAGCAGGCCGCAGAGAAUAGGCUCAAGCAACUGUUUAGCAAAAACACAGGUCUAUGCGAAACCGAAAGGUGAGGUAUAUGGGCUGACGCCUGCCCGGUGCUGGAAGGUUAAGAGGAGAGGUUAGCGGUAACGCGAAGCUUUGAAUUUAAGCCCCAGUAAACGGCGGCCGUAACUAUAACGGUCCUAAGGUAGCGAAAUUCCUUGUCGGGUAAGUUCCGACCCGCACGAAAGGCGUAAUGAUUUGAGCGCUGUCUCGACAAUGCACCCGGUGAAAUUGAAAUACCAGUGAAGAUGCUGGUUACCUGCGCCAGGACGGAAAGACCCCAUGGAGCUUUACUCCA